rnacentral:rRNA from 1 species
GAUAACAUUUGGAAACAGAUGCUAAUACCGUAUAAAUCCUAAAACCACAUGGUUUUAGGCUGAAACCCGGCUUCGGCUGUCACUUAGAGAUGGACCCGCGGCGUAUUAGCUAGUUGGUGAGGUAAUGGCUCACCAAGGCAAUGAUACGUAGCCGAACUGAGAGGUUGAUCGGCCACAUUGGGACUGAGACACGGCCCAAACUCCUACGGGAGGCAGCAGUAGGGAAUCUUCCACAAUGGACGCAAGUCUGAUGGAGCAACGCCGCGUGAGUGAAGAAGGCUUUCGGGUCGUAAAACUCUGUUGUUGAAGAAGAACACGUUUGAGAGUAACUGUUCAGACGUUGACGGUAUUCAACCAGAAAGCCACGGCUAACUACGUGCCAGCAGCCGCGGUAAUACGUAGGUGGCAAGCGUUAUCCGGAUUUAUUGGGCGUAAAGCGAGCGCAGGCGGUUUUUUAAGUCUGAUGUGAAAGCCCUCGGCUUAACCGAGGAAGUGCAUCGGAAACUGGGAAACUUGAAUGCUGAAGAGGACAGUGGAACUCCAUGUGUAGCGGUGAAAUGCGUAGAUAUAUGGAAGAACACCAGUGGCGAAGGCGGCUGUCUGGUCAGUUAUUGACGCUGAGGCUCGAAAGCAUGGGUAGCGAACAGGAUUAGAUACCCUGG